UUGCUUCGUUAUCCAUCUCGCUCUCGCGCCUCCGACCGUAGGUUCGGGCAGGUUUGAAGGGUCCUCGGACGGGCGCUCACCGGCCCGGGGGCCAGUGGCGGGGCCUGAGCCCCGGCGGGCCCGCCGAAGCAACGGGGGGUGGUCGGCAGGGGGUCUUGAGAACGGUCGCGGGCGAGCCCGGCCGUCUCGCUCGUAAUGAUCCUUCCGCAGGUUCACCUACGGAAA
rnacentral:misc_RNA from 1 species